rnacentral:miRNA from 1 species
UGCAUUGUAGUUGCAUUGCAGU